AUAAUGUGGAGUCCUGAACCCACUUUAAAAAACGGGGCGAGUACUGAAAAGCCAUACGAGUAAGACCAAU
rfam:Flavobacterium sp. ABG contig20, whole genome shotgun sequence.